UACGAAGGGGCUAGCGUUGCUCGGAAUCACUGGGCGUAAAGCGCACGUAGGCGGAUUGUUAAGUCAGGGGUGAAAGCCUGGAGCUCAACUCCAGAACUGCCCUUGAUACUGGCGAUCUCGAGUCCGGGAGAGGUGAGUGGAACUGCGAGUGUAGAGGUGAAAUUCGUAGAUAUUCGCAAGAACACCAGUGGCGAAGGCGGCUCACUGGCCCGGUACUGACGCUGAGGUGCGAAAGCGUGGGAGCAACAGG
rnacentral:rRNA from 1 species